rnacentral:tRNA from 1 species
GAGAGAGGUCACAACUAGCGAACAUUGCUAAAUCCUCGCUACCUGGGUUAAACCCCCGGGCUCACUCG